rnacentral:rRNA from 1 species
GGUUAAGCGACUAAGCGUACACGGUGGAUGCCCUGGCAGUCAGAGGCGAUGAAGGGCGUGCUAAUCUGCGAUAAGCGCCGGUAAGGUGAUAUGAACCGUUAUAACCGGCGAUACCCGAAUGGGGAAACCCAGUGUGAUUCGUCACACUAUCAUUAACUGAAUCCAUAGGUUAAUGAGGCGAACCGGGGGAACUGAAACAUCUAAGUACCCCGAGGAAAAGAAAUCAACCGAGAUUCCCCCAGUAGCGGCGAGCGAACGGGGAGGAGCCCAGAGCCUGAAUCAGCAUGUGUGUUAGUGGAAGCGUCUGGAAAGGCGCGCGAUACAGGGUGACAGCCCCGUAC